AUAGGCUGAGCAGCGGCCUGGGCUACUCCACUGAGAAUACUUAUUGUUGUUUCUUGAUAUGUACUAAACAUGGUGUGGAUUAUUCCGGACUUUUCUGGGAAAGGGGCAGGCAAUUCCCAGAAGUGAGGGUUCCUCCCUCUUUUAGACCAUCUAGGGUAACGUCCUGGCGUUGCCGUGGCAACUAAACUGUCCUGGUGCUGGUGGGCGUGUCUCUCAUGCUAAUGUAUUAUAAUCAGCGCAUAAUGAGCAGUGAGGACUGGCUGUCUUGGUUUUGGUGAUUUGGGGCCGGCUUCUUCACAGCAUCUUGUUUUAUCAGCGGGGUCUUUGUGACCAGUCUUGUGCCAACCUCCUAUCUCAUCCUGUAACUAAGGAUGCCUGACCUCAUGGGAACGUGGCCCAGCCGGGCUCAGCCUCAUUUUACCCAGGCCCUGUGCAAGAUGGAGUUGCUCUGGUUCAAAGGUCUCUGACAUAAAGACCUCAACCAGGCUGGUCUCACGCUGCCAGGACAGCUGGUGAGUGCAGGUGGGCAGGGGCCACUGCCCCAGCUCCCGUGGGCAAGGCUGAGGGUGAGGGGUUCCGGAGCGUUCCACAUUCUCCUUGCAAUGCUGGAAGCACGGGUGUCUCCCAUCCCGACACGCCUCAUUCUGUCUGCAGCUCACAGGGCCCGGCUUCUGCAGCUCACAGGGUCCGGCUUCUGGAAAUUCUGCUUUUGCAUUUUGUACUCUGUCCAGGGGCCAAAACCCAGGUCUGGAAUUGGUGUGGUCCCUGGUGGCACAAACCAGUCCUGGCUAAGAGGCCGGCCCCUCUCACUCCACUGAAGAGACAGGGGGCUGCAUGCUGAGAGGGCCAAGGCCAAAAGGAGCCUGCUGCUGUUCACAGCCCCCUGUGUGCCUGGGGCCCACUGUUCACAGCCCUCUGGGUGCCUGGGGGCUGGGCUGGGGGCUAC
rnacentral:lncRNA from 1 species